rnacentral:rRNA from 1 species
GACGAACGCUGGCGGCGUGCUUAAUACAUGCAAGUCGAACGGAAAGGCCCUGCUUUUGUGGGGUUCUCGAGUGGCGAACGGGUGAGUAACACGUGAGUAACCUGUCCUUGACUUUGGGAUAACUUCAGGAAACUGGGGCUAAUAUCGGAUAGGAGCUCCUGCUGCAUGUGGGGGGUUGGUAAGUUUCGGCGGUUGGGGAUGGACUCGCGGCUUAUCAGCUUGUUUGUGGGGUAGGGGCUUACCAAGGCUUUGAAGGGUAGCCGGCCUGAGAGGGUUACCGGCCACAUUGGGCCUGAGAUACGGCCCAGACUCCUACGGGAGGCAGCAGUGGGGAAUAUUGCACAAUGGGCGGAAGCCUGAUGCAGCAACGCCGCGUGCGGGAUGACGGCCUUCGGGUUGUAAACAGCUUUCGACUGUGACGAAGCGUGAGUGACGGUAAUGAGUAAAGAAGCACCGGCUAACUACGUG